rnacentral:Y_RNA from 1 species
AGCUGGUCCGAUGGUAGUGGGUUAUCGCUUGUUUGUGAAUUUCCCCCCCACUAUCGCCCUUGACUAGUUAUGU